rnacentral:rRNA from 1 species
GUUGGGCCUGCUCGGUGAGAAGAAAAAUUUAACAGCUGCGGUAUUAUAACUGUACUAAGGUAGCAUAAUAAUUUGCCUUAUAAAUUAAGGCUAGAAUGAAUGGUUUGACGAAAAUUAGACUGUCUUUAUUUUAUUUGUUAGAAAUUAAUUUUUAUAGUGAAAAAGCUUGAAUAAUUUAAGGGGACGAGAAGACCCUAUUGAGCUUUAUUUAUUAAUAUUUAAAUAUAAAUAUAUAAUUUAUAUUAUGAAAAUUAUGUUGUAUAUAUAUAUAUAUAUUUAAUUGGAUUUAAUUUUGAUUGGGGUGAUCAAGGAAUAAAAGAUAAAGUAACUUCCUUAAAAUUAAUAAUUGUUUUUAUAGAGUAAUAAACCAAGUUUUUUGCUUAUAAGAUAAGUUACCAUAGGGGUAACAGCGUAAUUUUUUUUGAGAGUUCAUAUUGAAAAAAGAGAUUGCGACCUCGAUGUUGGAUUAAAAAUUACCUUAAGG